UCAACGGAGAGUUUGAUCCUGGCUCAGGACGAACGCUGGCGGCGUGCUUAACACAUGCAAGUCGAGCGAACCUUCGGGUUAGCGGCGAACGGGUGAGUAACACGUGGGCAACCUACCCCUAGCUCUGGGAUAACCCCGGGAAACCGGAGCUAAUACCGGAUACGACUUCUGCGGGCAUCCGCGGAGGUGGAAAGUUUUUCGGCUAGGGAUGGGCCCGCGGCCUAUCAGCUUGUUGGUGGGGUCACGGCCCACCAAGGCGACGACGGGUAGCCGGCCUGAGAGGGCGACCGGCCACACUGGGACUGAGACACGGCCCAGACUCCUACGGGAGGCAGCAGUGGGGAAUAUUGCGCAAUGGGCGAAAGCCUGACGCAGCG
rnacentral:rRNA from 1 species